rnacentral:rRNA from 1 species
GUGGGGAAUAUUGGACAAUGGGCGCAAGCCUGAUCCAGCCAUACCGCGUGGGUGAAGAAGGCCUUCGGGUUGUAAAGCCCUUUUGUUGGGAAAGAAAUCCUGUCGAUUAAUACUCGGUGGGGAUGACGGUACCCAAAGAAUAAGCACCGGCUAACUUCGUGCCAGCAGCCGCGGUAAUACGAAGGGUGCAAGCGUUACUCGGAAUUACUGGGCGUAAAGCGUGCGUAGGUGGUGGUUUAAGUCUGCUGUGAAAGCCCUGGGCUCAACCUGGGAAUUGCAGUGGAUACUGGAUCACUAGAGUGUGGUAGAGGGAUGCGGAAUUUCUGGUGUAGCAGUGAAAUGCGUAGAGAUCAGAAGGAACAUCCGUGGCGAAGGCGGCAUCCUGGGCCAACACUGACACUGAGGCACGAAAGCGUGGGGAGCAAACAGGAUUAGAUACCCCGGUAGUCC